GACGAACGCUGGCGGCGUGCUUAACACAUGCAAGUCGAACGGAAAGGCCCUGCUUUUGUGGGGUGCUCGUGUGGCGAACGGGUGAGUAACACGUGAGUAACCUGCCCUUGACUUUGGGAUAACUUCAGGAAACUGGGGCUAAUACCGGAUAGGAGCUCCUGCUGCAUGGUGGGGGUUGGAAAGUUUCGGCGGUGGGGGAUGGACUCGCGGCUUAUCAGCUUGUUGGUGGGGUAGUGGCUUACCAAGGCUUUGACGGGUAGCCGGCCUGAGAGGGUGACCGGCCACAUUGGGACUGAGAUACGGCCCAGACGCCUACGGGAGGCAGCAGUGGGGAAUAUUGCACAAUGGGCGGAAGCCUGAUGCAGCAACGCCGCGUGCGGGAUGACGGCCUUCGGGUUGUAAACCGCUUUCGCCUGUGACGAAGAGUGAGUGACGGUAAUGGGUAAAGAAGCACCGGCUAACUACGUG
rnacentral:rRNA from 1 species